GGAAAAGAGUCCUUCUUCUCAUAUUCCUAAAGCUUGUGGAUGUGGAGCUGCUGGGUUGGGGUUCAAGACGUGCCGGUGUGUCCGAUGUGUCCGAUGUGUCCAUGUCCGGUUCCGAUCCACUCGGAGAAAGCAAACAGCUUCCGGUUUCGGGUGAGCGGCUGCUCUGCUGAAUUUUAAGGACAAUGCUGCAGCCUCCUGGCAGCGGGAGGGGAAAAGACUCAAAAAUACAGAGGAGGGACAUGGGGUAUCUAUAGGAGAAUGCUGAGGAUGGAGCCACCAGAGAGGAGGAA